rnacentral:rRNA from 1 species
GUCCACGCCGUAAACGAUGCGCACUAGGUUUGAAAGGCUCUGACGCCAUUCGUACCGAAGCAAAGUGUUAAGUGCGCCGCCUGGGGAGUACGGCCGCAAGGCUAAACUCAAAGGAAUUGACGGGGCUCACACAAGCGGUGGAGCAUGUGGAUUAAUUCGAAGCAACGCGAAGAACCUUACCUGGGUUUGACAUGUACGGAUGCCGUCCAUGAAAGUGGAGCCGGCUGCCUUCGGGUGAAACGUACACAGGUGCUGCAUGGCUGUCGU